rnacentral:tRNA from 1 species
GCCCCUAUCGUCUAGUGGACCAGGACGCCAGCCUUUCAAGCUGGAAACGCGGAUUCGAAUUCCGUUGGGGGCACCA